UACGUAGGGGGCAAGCGUUGUCCGGAAUCAUUGGGCGUAAAGCGCGUGUAGGCGGCUCGAUAAGUCUGCUGUGAAAGUCCAGGGCUCAACCCUGGAAUGCCGGUGGAAACUGUUGAGCUUGAGUCCGGAAGAGGCGAGUGGAAUUCCUGGUGUAGCGGUGAAAUGCGCAGAUAUCAGGAGGAACACCAAUGGCGAAGGCAGCUCGCUGGGACGGUACUGACGCUGAGACGCGAAAGCGUGGGGAGCAAACAGG
rnacentral:rRNA from 1 species